rnacentral:rRNA from 1 species
CACGUAGGGGGCGAGCGUUGUCCGGAAUCAUUGGGCGUAAAGAGCUCGUAGGCGGUUCGGUAAGUCGGGUGUGAAAACUUUGGGCUUAACCCAAAGCCUGCAUCCGAUACUGCUGUGACUUGAGUUCGGUAGGGGAGAAUGGAAUUCCCGGUGUAGCGGUGAAAUGCGCAGAUAUCGGGAGGAACACCGGUGGCGAAGGCGGUUCUCUGGGCCGAUACUGACGCUGAUGCGCGAAAGCCAGGGGAGCGAACGGG